GGAGCUGUGGGUCAGUGGUAGACCAUCGACUUGAUAUGCAAAUACACCCAGGUUCAAUUCCUGGCAUCUCCA
rnacentral:tRNA from 1 species